rnacentral:rRNA from 1 species
AUUGAACGCUGGCGGCAUGCCUUACACAUGCAAGUCGAACGGCAGCACGGGUGCUUGCACCUGGUGGCGAGUGGCGAACGGGUGAGUAAUACAUCGGAACAUGUCCUGUAGUGGGGGAUAGCCCGGCGAAAGCCGGAUUAAUACCGCAUACGAACUAUGGAUGAAAGCGGGGGACCUUCGGGACUCGCGCGAUUGGGUUGGGCGGUCGCUGUUUCGCUAGUUGGUGGGGUAAAGGCCUACCAAGGCGACGAUCAGUAGGUGGUCUGAGAGGACGACCGGCCCCACUGGGACUGAGACACGGCCCAGACUCCUACGGGAGGCAGCAGUGGGGAAUUUUGGACAAUGGGCGAAAGCCUGAUCCAGCAAUGCCGCGUGUGUGAAGAAGGCCUUCGGGUUGUAAAGCACUUUUGUCCGGAAAGAAAUCCUUGGCUCUAAUACAGUCGGGGGAUGACGGUACCGGAAGAAUAAGCACCGGCUAACUACGUG